rnacentral:lncRNA from 1 species
AUUCUUUUCAAUCAACAUCGGAGGUUGGGUUUGUGAAGUUGUGAUUCAUUGAUUUUUUUUUUUGGGGGUUUCUUGUAUAUGUUGACAAUGGAGAUGCCUGGUUCGGGUUGUUUUUUGUUUUUCUUUAUUGUGGGAUUUGAAUUUUUCUGAUUAGGGUUUGAGAAUGGUUCCUGAAAAUGAAAAGAACGAGUUCCUAUCAGACUCUCCAACUUCUGUGCUUGAAGAUGGGUAUAACUCUUUUUUUAACAACUUUUAACAUUUCUUUUCUAUUGACCUUUUGCUUUUGGGAUUUAUUAGGUUAAUGUUUUUCUGGAAGAGUGUAGGUUCGCAUAGGUGUUAUUGUUAAGCAGAAGAAGAUAGAACAUUGUGUUCUUCUCUGAUUAAAGUAAACAAAACUUUUUGUUAUUAGCUUUGAAAGUAAAAAAGAAAACAAAAAAGAAAGAAUUUUCUUUGUGUGUUUGUCUCCGUGUGUGCAUAUUUUCUAUUUUCUUUUAGUUCCGUGUUGGUUUAUUGUAAAAGACUAUAAAAGAAAGGCACAAAAUACGAUGCACUUUCGAGAGAUUCCAAGUCUGAGUGCACAAGCGGUUACAGUUUAGAGCCUUAUUUUCAAUGAACUUAUUACAAGAUGUUCGCCCUUCUGUUUGACUUGAGUUACAUUUUUCUCGGUCCAAUAAACUUGAAUGUUUUUACUUCUGUUGCUUGAAGAUCCGACCUUGUAUUAUAAAUGCUGUUUUGUAUUUUCAAAUGAAGUUACACCAAGGAAUGCAAUGUGCUAUUAUCAAUUUAUUAUACUAGCUUGGAAGUUUUGGUGAAAAACAUGUACCAUCAACCAUGUAUCAUUAACUGAUGCCAUCUUGUUGGCUUUUGUUUGUGCUAAAGCAGCUAGUUGUUUUUAUGAGUUUCAUGUAAAUUUGGAGUUUGAGUUGAAGGGAUUCUUUGUGUAUUACGAUUACUCAAUAUUUCACAAAUUUUACUGAAUGCUUUUCUCUUUUUUGUGAUUUUUGUAUUGGGAAUUUGCAAAGAAUGGAUCCAUCUGAAGUAGGAGUAUCAGCUGGUUCUCCAAAGCUUCUGCAGGCUGAUCAUAAUUGAACAGGGAAUACUUAUCUUCAUUCUUGCUUAAUAGAGGUAUGGCAAAAUGCUCAUUUCCAUAAUAAUUAUAACGUGUUUUGCUUUUUUCUGCAAAUUAUAUAUAUUAGAUUAGUAAAAAAGGUAAACAUUCUUUUCAUUCGAAUUACGUUGCUUAACUCUAUGGUUUUUUCUUGUAUUAUUAAGUGAAUUCUAGCACGUUAAUUGCAAUUAAAGUAGUCUAAAUCGUCCCCUAAAUUUACGUUCUUUAGUGAUGUAAAAUAGUAGUGUAAUUGCCUUUUUGUACACCCUUUCGCGUACCUAGAAAUGAUUUCACGAAAUGGAUAAAUUCUCUUUUACCUCAAUAGAAAAGAGAACAUGGUUUGAAUUUCUUGUAGGUGCCACCAAAGUUAAGAUGUCUUAUGUUUAUUUUUUUUAACCUAUACGACUUUUAAUGUUCGCGUUUUCUUCUGUCCCCUGAUCGUGAAUAUGUUGAAUAAAUCCUCAACAAUAGACUCCAAUGUUAUGUUUGGCAAGAUGAAAUUGAGAGUAUUGGGAAGUAUUAAUUAAUAAAGAUGAAAAUGAAGUUAAUUUCUUGUUUAUUGCUUACCAUAUCUUACGCCAAGAGUCCAUGAACUUUGGGAUUUUUUUUCUUCCGUUAGCUUUGAAUAUUUGUAAUAGUAUACACUUAUCAGCUUCUGAGCUUGAUGUGCUACACAAGGGAUAUUGUUGAUCAAAUUGUAGACUAAUGCAGGAUGAUUAGACGAAAUAUCAUGGCUGCAGACCGUGUAGGCACAUAGUUGGAGCGAUGAAUCGUCUUAACGAUGCAUGUAAUGGCCUUACAACAUCUAAAGAACUAUUCAAAGUAUUAAGUCGUAUUUGUCACCUUCAAGAGCAACAUUCUACAAGAUUAUCACUUGAAUAUUGCAAGUUUUCGAGAUGCCAGCAACAUUUCAAAAGCUUUCAGUUAAAAGCUUUUUUCUUGAGACGCCAUAGGGGAAAAAAAAAUCAUAAAUCUAAUUAUUUUGAAGAAUCUGCUGAAGAUGUGCCUGUAUUUCAAGAGUUUGCAUAUCAGUGCUUGGCCCAUGUGUUUCCAAUUUACUUUUGAGAUGUUAGAUAUCUCUUGUUAUUGAUACAUGGAUCUUUACUCUCGAAUAUUAGGUUAAACAGAAAGUUAGGAUCCUUUGUACAAUUAUACAUGUAUCUGCAGUAGUGAAGCGAUGCCUUCCUAUAGAUUCUCGGAACAUUGAAUUUACACAUUCUCAUGAAGGU